ACAGGGAUUGCCCCAGUAACGGCGAGUGAAGCGGCAACAGCUCAAAUUUGAAAUCUGGCACCCGCCCGAGUUGUAAUUUGCAGAGGAUGCUUCUGGGCAGCGGCCGUUCUAAGUUCCUUGGAACAGGACGUCAUAGAGGGUGAGAAUCCCGUAUGUGACCGGCGCGCACCCUCCACGUAGCUCCUUCGACGAGUCGAGUUGUUUGGGAAUGCAGCUCUAAAUGGGAGGUAAAUUCCUUCUAAAGCUAAAUACCGGCCAGAGACCGAUAGCGCACAAGUAGAGUGAUCGAAAGAUGAAAAGCACUUUGGAAAGAGAGUUAAACAGCACGUGAAAUUGUUGAAAGGGAAGCGCUCGCCACCAGACUUCGCGGCGGUGUUCCGCCGGGCUUCUGCCCGGUCCACUCGCCGCCGCGAGGCCAACAUCGUCUGGGGCCGCCGGAUAAGACCGUGGGAAUGUAGCUCCCCUCGGGGAGUGUUAUAGCCCGCGGUGAUGCGGCGCGCCUCGGGCGAGGUCCGCGCUUUGGCAAGGAUGUUGGCGUAAUGGUGGUCAGCGGCCCGUCUUGAAACACGGACCAAGGAGUCUAACAUCUAUGCGAGUGUUCGGGUGUCAAACCCCUGCGCGUAAUGAAAGUGAACGGAGGUGGGAGCUGCGGCGCACCGUCGACCGAUCCUGAUGUCCUCGGAUGGAUUUGAGUAGGAGCAUAGCUGUUGGGACCCGAAAGAUGGUGAACUAUGCCUGAAUAGGGUGAAGCCAGAGGAAACUCUGGUGGAGGCUCGCAGCGGUUCUGACGUGCAAAUCGAUCGUCAAAUUUGGGUAUAGGGGCGAAAGACUAAUCG
rnacentral:rRNA from 1 species